rnacentral:misc_RNA from 1 species
AGAGGGGAGUUUGUUCAUCGCAUCCAACCAAUCCAAGGCUUUGUAAAGAUUCACACUGCUCAAGUCAAGGAAUUUUAAAGAUGAGAGAUUACAGAUCCAGUGCAAACUGUCAACAGAUUUCACGUCAUACUUAUAACUAAAAAAUCCUUCUCCUCUGAGAUCUAGAUAUUGCAAAUUUGAAAGAUUUCCGAGUUGAUGAGGAAUCAUUCCUCCAAAAUCUGCUCCGGAGAAGUUAAGGUAUCUUAAACUCUUCAUAGAGCCAAGGAAUUUGGGAAUUUGAAUUCCUCCAAAAUCAUUAUUGCUUAGAUCCAAGUGCCUCAAAUGCUUCAAGUUGAGUAGAGAUGGACUAAUCUUACCACUAAAUGUUGGCUUCAUAUAGUAUUCCUUGUCUGCUUCCUCGUAAUAUCCUUCGUAAGAAGGACUUCCAAGAUGGAGUUCAAUGACAUGGCCUGUUAAGUUGUGGCAGAUCACUCCAAACCAUCUGCAACAAUCCUCUUUACCACCCCAAGAUGAAAGCUGGUUUAGAGGAUCUAUGAGCUCAUGCUUGAACUUCAAGAGAGCCUCUCUCUCACUUGGACUGCAACUAGAACUGAAUUUUCCAUAGCAGAUGCCAAGACUGAUGGUUGCAAUCCAGAGGAAAGAAAUUGUGAGUGGAGCACUCAUUGAUUUUUCC